AUGGAUAUUUUCCACGAUAAGAUCUUGUUUGCUGUUUUGUUUUUUUUCUUGUGUUGUGCUUUUUUUUUUUUUCCUCUUUCUUUCUCUAACCCAGUGUGUCAAAUUCCAGUCUGUGUGAAAGGUGAGGGCGUGUUAGAGAAGACAAUGAAAGGUUCUGCAUAUGCAGGGAACUCUGGAAAAAGCUCAGGGCUUUGCUCGUCCCACCCCGUUCCACCCCUGCCACUCCCGAAGAGCAACACAACACGGAUGGAUACAAGUUCUUCCAGGCCCAUCAAACUUAUCUGUGGUUAUCCCUGGCUUCCAGUCCACCAGACCAUUCCCAGAGAUAAUCUGCCCAGCUGCACACACAAGUAUGCUCUCAGCACUUUCCAGGGCAUGGAAUGGCAUUGCCAGUCAGGGGAGUGUGAAUAAAUUGUCUGUUCUGCAGGUUAGGAAAAAAAAAAAAAAGAGAGAGAGAGAUUCCUACAUAAAGGAAAACUAAAAUUGUUUUGUUCUGUUCUCCACAGAAUGCCCCAGUGGAUCAAAACCCAAACGUUAAUUUUCCAGCGCUUUUAAGAAAGCAAGACCUAACAUCCACCUCAGCACCCUGUGGCUGAAGAGCCAUCCUAUCCCCAUAAUUACAAGGUAGUGAUAAGAGCACUCCUUAGGUUUUAGGAGACCUGAAUUAAACUCUCUCUCCUCUCCAAGUGGAUUCAAACUCAUGCAUCCCACGCAUGAAGAGCCUCCUAACCAGGCAGUAUUAAGUAUUGCCAAUCCCUCCCAGUUGAUGCUGUUCCACUUCACAGCCCAACGUGGAUCUGGGAUCCAGGUGCCUCCCUCCCAGGAGAGCAGCCUAAUCAGCAGACUGGUGACUCACCUUGGCUCUUUGUUUGUGUGAGCUCUGAAUUAUUGCCUGCCAAGUGGAACAGCUCCAGAGCCAUCCCAGAUCACGUUGCCCUCGGAUACACUCCAGCCCAGAGGCUAGGACACUCACCAGCUGGGUGGGAAAUGCCUGCUCAAAUCCAGCUUUCUUCCUGAUUCAGCUGCCUCCUUGCUGAAUAUCCUACUCCCUGUAGAUUGCUCCCUAUGGGAGUCUGGUGCCCUUAAUUUGUCCCCUUGGAUCUAUCCCAAUCUCAAAAAAAAUGUUAAAAUAUUAGUUGAUGCAGAAAGUAAAUGGACUAAUUCCCG
rnacentral:lncRNA from 1 species